rnacentral:rRNA from 1 species
AUUGAACGCUGGCGGAAUGCUUUACACAUGCAAGUCGAACGGCAGCACGGACUUCGGUCUGGUGGCGAGUGGCGAACGGGUGAGUAAUGUAUCGGAACGUGCCCAGUCGUGGGGGAUAACGUAGUGAAAAUUACGCUAAUACCGCAUACGGUCUAUGGAUGAACGCGGGGGAUCGCAAGACCUCGCGCGAUUGGACCGGCCGAUAUCAGAUUAGGUAGUUGGUGGGGUAAAGGCCCACCAAGCCAACGAUCUGUAGCUGGUCUGAGAGGACGGCCAGCCACACUGGAACUGAGACACGGUCCAGACUCCUACGGGAGGCAGCAGUGGGGAAUUUUGGACAAUGGGCGAAAGCCUGAUCCAGCCAUUCCGCGUGCAGGAUGAAGGCCCUCGGGUUGUAAACUGCUUUUGUACAGAACGAAAAGGUUUCUACUAAUACUAGGAGCUCAUGACGGUACUGUAAGAAUAAGCACCGGCUAACUACGUGCCAGCCGCCGCCGUAA